rnacentral:rRNA from 1 species
UACGGAGGGUGCAAGCGUUAUCCGGAAUCACUGGGUUUAAAGGGUGCGUAGGCGGUGGCGUAAGUCAGUUGUGAAAUUCCCCGGCUUAACCGGCGGGACUGCGAUUGAUACUGUGUCACUUGAAUCAGGAUGAGGUAGGCGGAAUGUGACAUGUAGCGGUGAAAUGCUUAGAUAUGUCAUAGAACACCGAUUGCGAAGGCAGCUUGCUGGACCUGUAUUGACGCUGAGGCACGAAAGCGUGGGGAGCAAACAGG